GACGAACGCUGGCGGCGUGCUUAACACAUGCAAGUCGAACGGAAAGGCCCCUUUGGGGGUCCUCGAGUGGCGAACGGGUGAGUAACACGUGAGUAACCUGCCCUUGACUUCGGGAUAACUUCAGGAAACUGGGGCUAAUACCGGAUAGGAAUCCUUGCUGCAUGGUGGGGGUUGGAAAGCUUCGGCGGUUUUGGAUGGACUCGCGGCUUAUCAGCUUGUUGGUGGGGUAGUGGCUUACCAAGGCUUUGACGGGUAGCCGGCCUGAGAGGGCGACCGGCCACAUUGGGACUGAGAUACGGUCCAGACUCCUACGGGAGGCAGCAGUGGGGAAUAUUGCACAAUGGGCGGAAGCCUGAUGCAGCAACGCCGCGUGCGGGAUGACGGCCUUCGGGUUGUAAACCGCUUUCAGCAGGGGCGAAGCUUGUGGUGACGGUACCUGCAGAAGAAGCACCGGCUAACUACGUG
rnacentral:rRNA from 1 species